UACAGAGGUCUCAAGCGUUGUUCGGAUUCAUUGGGCGUAAAGGGUGCGUAGGUGGCGCUGUAAGUCGGGUGUGAAAUUUCGGAGCUUAACUCCGAAACUGCAUUCGAUACUGCGGUGCUUGAGGACUGGAGAGGAGACUGGAAUUCAUGGUGUAGCAGUGAAAUGCGUAGAUAUCGGGAGGAACAUCAGUGGCGAAGGCGGCCUCUGGUCCAGUACUGACACUCAAGUGCGAAAGCGUGGGGAGGCAAACAGG
rnacentral:rRNA from 1 species